rnacentral:tRNA from 1 species
AGUCCUGUAGGCGAAAGGAUUAAGCCGUCUGCCCCUCAAGCAGAAGAUUGCGGGUUUGAUUCCCGUCGGGACUA